CGCCAAGGUAGACGGAGGCAAAUCUCGAUUUACUUCUAAAUUUCCGCCAAAGUUGCAGAUAUUCUGAACUCACACAUUCAUCGCAGCUGUCACGAACUGGAUGUCAGGACAGCGCGCUCAACGCAACCCACUCCAUCAGGGAUCGAAAACCAUCGAGUCAUAGUCUUUCAUGAUGAUCGAUUCAGCAAAGAAUGAUUACGCGGACCUAGUAUUAUACGAGAACUCACACAUUCAUCGCGGCUGUCACGAACUGGAUGCCCGGACAGCGCGCUCAACGCAACCCACUCCAUCAGGGAUCGAAAACCAUCGAGUAAUAGUCUUUCAUGACGAUCGAUUCGGCAAAGAAUGAUAACGCGGACCAAGUAUUAUACGAGGUGGAAUGUCAUACACAGGAAGCGGCUGGACUCCACAGGGAAUCAGAUGAUACAGCGGUCACAGUACUAUACACGUUCGCAUGGCGUGCACACCACGUGUCAAUGACGUCAUCAAGUCACGUGAUCUACAUACGAGGACGACGUAUCGGCAAAGGAGGGAACGUUUAUGGAAUCUUUUCUCGCCAAACUACCCGUGAGCAGUCUAAGGCAAGACCAAUUCUUUGUAAAACUGAAUGUCAAAAACCUAUUUCAUCAUUAGUGAGGUUUCGCAUGCUAACGAUUUACGAAUAUGUUUACGUUUACGUUUUGAAAAUUCUAAAAUCGGCAAAAGAUGCUCCUUCUUCAUGGAAGCUUAGAUUUGAAUCAGAGUCUUUACCUCUUGUGGUACCCUACUUAUGAAAUACCCUGAUUUUGACAGCCAACGCCAGCGUGUAGUGUUGGCCUUUGUAACGCCGAUACCCCACUCAUUGUUGCUCACUCAGUGAUGAAUGAAGCUGGUCGAACGCUCACUUCACAAACAAAUGUGCCUCGAAAACGUUAAACGUAAGCUUGCCAAACCUCACUAUUGUGAUAGCGUGUUCGUAAACAGAAAUACACUUGUACCCAAGUAGACUAAAUUCACCUUGACAGUUGCUCGUUUGAUUGAGCAAUCACAGUAAGCAGAGGGUUUGCCGGACUUUACCUCCAUCAUUGGUUACUUUCUUCAAACAGAAUUCUUAGCCUUCUGGUCAGUAUCAGCCAAUCAGAAACCUUCUACUAUAUUACGGCCAUUGUCUGCGCCAAACAAGCUUGGUAGACGUCUUUUGAUUUACUGAUACUGACAGGAAGACCAAGAUUGCUGCUGGAAGGAGGUUAAGAAUAAUAAAGAUUUUUUGGGGGGCUAAAAUUUCGUUCCAAAGUGCAAAACAACCAUACCUUUACUUGUCGUCUUGUGAAGAUUUUUGACACAAUUGUCAGUGUGGUGUUGGAAGAAAGCAACUUUGAAAAAAAACAUCGAAUCCGGCAAAUUUUCUUGGUUACAGGUACUAUAUCCCCUCAUGAAAUUAUAAUGUCUUAAAAUAAUCCCUGUUAAAGCGAGAAAGAAAAUAAUUUAUUGUAAAAAAGUCUGUAAAAAGGUCUAGACUGGAUUCGAACCCAAAACCUCUGGAUCUUGAGUCCAACGCUCAAACCACUAGGCCACAAAACCACCCACUGGAAGGGGUCGACAAUGAGCGAGUCACUGAAAAUAUGAGCUCAGACAACUCGUUGAGUUAUGUCAAUGUCACCGCCAUCCAAUUGAAUAGACAGGUUCUGGGAACCUUUGUCCACUGUCACAAAGCCUUCGAUUGGGCUAUUGUGAGCCCUUAAUCUGUAUAUUCCAAUGAAUGAGCCAAUAUGGCCUACUGUGUUCAACAAUUUUCCUGCUGAACUGAGUUCACUGGGAGUUUUUGUCACAAGCUUUUUGAAUUACAUGUAUCAUUAUAAGUACAGGUUGUUAAUUAAAACAAGGCAUAUUUCUAAUGCCUGAUAGCCGUUGUUCAAAAUGACUUGGCCAACUGGUAUUUAAAUUGUACCCAUCAACAUAUAGAAUAUCUGAGAAUUUGUUGCAGACUAACUUUAGUAUACCCCAUCCAGUAGUUAUCAUAAAACAACUGGCAUGAAAUGACCAUGCUUUAAUUAACAUCCUGUAUACUUGACUGAACAUCUAACAUACACCUUCCACUUCAGUUUUAGUGGCAGUUGUAGGUUGAGUUGCUAGGGUGAUUUCAAAACGCAUCCUCUUUCUAUAAAAACCUUGUCUGAGUCUCGACAUACACCUCUAGUCAUGGGUCAUGGACCACUCCAGC